rnacentral:rRNA from 1 species
CCUACGGGUGGCUGCAGUGAGGAAUAUUGGUCAAUGGGCGCGAGCCUGAACCAGCCAAGUCGCGUGAGGGAUGAAGGUUCUAUGGAUCGUAAACCUCUUUUAUAAGGGAAUAAAGUGUGUGACGUGUCCUAUAUUGUAUGUACCUUAUGAAUAAGUAUCGGCUAACUCCGUGCCAGCAGCCGCGGUAAUACGGAGGAUACGAGCGUUAUCCGGAUUUAUUGGGUUUAAAGGGUGCGUAGGGGGACUUUUAAGUCAGCGGUGAAAGUGUGUGGCUCAAACAUGGAAUUGCCGUUGAAACUGGGGGGCUUGAGUAUGUUUGAGGGAGGCGGAAUGCGUGGUGUAGCGGUGAAAUGCUUAGAUAUCACGCAGAACCCCGAUUGCGAAGGCAGCAUGCCAAGCCAUGACUGACGCUGAUGCACGAAAGCGUGGGGAUCAAACAGGAUUAGAUACCCCAGUAGUC